UGAGGAAUAUUGGUCAAUGGUCGGGAGACUGAACCAGCCAAGCCGCGUGAGGGAAGAAGGUACAGAGUAUCGUAAACCUCUUUUGUCAGGGAACAAAAGGCGCCACGUGUGGCGCUCCGAGUGUACCUGAAGAAAAAGCAUCGGCUAACUCCGUGCCAGCAGCCGCGGUAAUACGGAGGAUGCGAGCGUUAUCCGGAUUUAUUGGGUUUAAAGGGUGCGUAGGCGGCGAUGCAAGUCAGCGGUAAAAGCCCGGG
rnacentral:rRNA from 1 species